AAUGACUCUCGGCAACGGAUAUCUCGGCUCUUGCAUCGAUGAAGAACGUAGCAAAAUGCGAUACUUGGUGUGAAUUGCAGAAUCCCGUGCACCAUCGAGUCUUUGAACGCAAGUUGCGCCUGAAACCAUUAGGUUGAGGGCACGUCUGCCUGGGUGUCACACAA
rnacentral:rRNA from 1 species